AAAUGAUAAGAUUAAUUUGUAAUAUUUCAUAGAUAAAACACACCAAAAGAAAAACACUUCAUUUAUUUGAAGUGAUCAAACAGAAGCCAACACAACCACAAGACACGAGAGACCAUGGGUGAACUACUCAUGGCCAAUUAUUUAACUGAGGGCAUCAGACCCUUGAUCCUCCUCUCCGUCGGGAGCUCACUUGCCGCACUUGCAGGGGUUGCAGUUGCAG
rnacentral:misc_RNA from 1 species